GAGGCUUAGGUGAACCUGCGGAAGGAUCAUUAACACGUAUCCAACGUUAAAACAACCCGUCAUUGUUGACCAGCUUUUGAGUCAGGACCUCUGCCAUAGUGAUAUUUUAGAGUUCGGUUGAGCGAUUGCAUCUAGUGACCUGGCAUCAAGUAAUCAGUGUUCUGAAAGAUUGAUUGUGUAAGGAUGGUGCAGGCGACCACAAACUUCGCCGCGUGAAAUUCGCACGGCACCAAAAACCGAACAACUGUUAACAAGAUAUCUUGGUUCUC
rnacentral:misc_RNA from 1 species